rnacentral:tRNA from 2 species
GGGUAUCGCCAAGCGGUAAGGCACCGGUUUUUGAUACCGGCAUUCCCUGGUUCGAAUCCAG